ACUGGUGAGUAACACGUGGAUAACGUACCCCGAUGCCCGGGACAGCCUGUAGAAAUAGAGGGUAAUACCGGAUAGGUCACCGUUUAUGUUAGGUAGACGGCGGGAAAGGAGCUUCGGCUCCGCGCUGGGAUCGGUCUGCGGCCCAUCAAGCUCGUUGGUGAGGUAAGAGCUCACCAAGGCGAGGACGGGUAUCCGGCCUGAGAGGGCGGACGGACACAUUGGGACUGAGAUACGGCCCAGACUCCUACGGGAGGCAGCAGGUAAGAAUAUUCCGCAAUGGGGGGAACCCUGACGGAGCGACGCCGCGUGAACGAAGAAGGCCGGAAGGUUGUAAAGUUCUUUUCUGUUCGAGGAAUAAGUGUCGGAGGAAAUGCCGACAUGGUGACGGUAGGGCAGGAAUAAGCACCGGCUAAUUACGUGCCAGCAGCCGCGGUAACACGUAAGGUGCGAGCGUUGUUCGGAAUUAUUGGGCGUAAAGGGCAUGCAGGCGGGACGCCAAGCUUGAUGAGAAAUACCGGGGCUCAACUCCGGAGCUAUAUUGAGAACUGGCGAGCUAGAGUUGCCGAAGGGUAUCCGGAAUUCCGCGUGAAGGGGUGAAAUCUGUAGAUAUGCGGAAGAACACCGAUGGCGAAGGCAGGAUACCGGCGGACGACUGACGCUGAGGUGCGAAGGUGCGGGGAGCAAACAGGAUUAGAUACCCU
rnacentral:rRNA from 1 species